rnacentral:rRNA from 1 species
UUGGCUCAGGACGAACGCUGGCGGCAGGCCUAACACAUGCAAGUCGAGCGGCAGCGGGAAAGUAGCUUGCUACUUUUGCCGGCGAGCGGCGGACGGGUGAGUAAUGCCUGGGAAAUUGCCCAGUCGAGGGGGAUAACAGUUGGAAACGACUGCUAAUACCGCAUACGCCCUACGGGGGAAAGCAGGGGACCUUCGGGCCUUGCGCGAUUGGAUAUGCCCAGGUGGGAUUAGCUAGUUGGUGAGGUAAUGGCUCACCAAGGCGACGAUCCCUAGCUGGUCUGAGAGGAUGAUCAGCCACACUGGAACUGAGACACGGUCCAGACUCCUACGGGAGGCAGCAGUAGGAA